rnacentral:rRNA from 1 species
UACAGAGGGUGCGAGCGUUAAUCGGAAUUACUGGGCGUAAAAGGCGCGUAGGCGGAUAUUUAAGUUAGAUGUGAAAUCCCUGGGCUUAACCUAGGAAUGGCAUCUGAUACUGGGUAUCUGGAGUGCUGUAGAGGGUAGUGGAAUUUCCGGUGUAGCGGUGAAAUGCGUAGAUAUCGGAAGGAACACCAGUGGCGAAGGCGGCUACCUGGACAGACACUGACGCUGAGGCGCGAGAGCGUGGGGAGCAAACAGG